UAGAUGAACCAGACAUGAAUGAAUUGGCAGAUCAUCAUUAUUUGACUGAAUUUGUGUUGAAUUUUUGAGAUGCAACACAGAAUAACACAGGAAGAACUGAAUAAUCUUAUCAGGGAUCUGGAAUUACCCAAGAAUAAAGCAGAACUAUUCAUGCCAAAUGGUUGCCAGAUUAUAUGAAACUAUAUUAAUGCUGUUGUUAAUAUUAAUAAUUAAAUAUCAAGUAAUUUGGCCUAGAGGUAGGAGUUAAGUGUUAUUUCUUUUUAAAUUAAUUAUUAAAUUUAUCAAGUUCUAGAAAAAAAGCUAGAAGAAAAGAAUAAACCUGAAGCAGGGCUUGAACCCACAACUUGUGCUUGCCUUGCAGACACGUUGCUAGUUAUGUUCCAGCUGAUCUUCAAUUCCAGAACUAUUAAUUUAAAUAUAACCAUACUGGUUACUCACAAUGCUGACUUAACUAAUGGCUUGGCUUCCAGGUUGAAACAAUGGAAUUGCCUUGCAGAAAAUGUGAAAAGUUACUUCUUUUGCUGCCAACACAAUGUUUUUUGCAGUUCUAUUCUAAAGAAGGUGAUCUCAAUUUCUGUAACAUUGUCAAUGAUGUUACAGCAGCUUUGGGCAUCAUGUACACUUGCAAUAAAUGGCAUUUGUUUAUAGAUUCAGUUUGAAGUUGGUGCUUUUACACAACAACACGCUGCCUUCUGUUCCACUGGCAUAUGUUACCCAAACUAAAGAAAUCUAUACAGUUAUGGAAACCUUAGACUUCAGAACAAGAAUCAGGAGUGAUGUGCAUUGGAUUUUAAAGUUAUUGCUAUAUUAAUGGAACUACAGCAGGGAUACAGAAAAUUUUGUUGCUCUGUCUGAAUGGGAUAGUUGUGACAAAUUAAA